UUACUGCAUCUAUAAAUGGUACGAUGUCAAGUUCUGCGUCCCCCAUUUAUAGAUGCAGUAACGAUGACGCGCUUUAAGAACAUCCCCAAUGGAGUCAUAAUUUCGAGAAUAAUGCCUAGCCGGCAGAAUUGCUAUUCAGAAGAAAGUCGUAUUGUGUAUGAAGAUGGCAAGGUUGUUCAAAACGCGUUUCUUAGGUUGAGGAAUGUUGAGUGUGGUGAAAUAGAGCUUCAGUUGCAAUGGAUAGACGUUCCUAGUUCCAAGAAUCUAUAGCAGCUUAUAUUGUGAGAAAAGCUAGAUUCUUUAGUUACCUAUAUGAAAAUAUUAAAACGAACUUAUCCUUUUGUUGUUGUUGUAAACACGGCUGGCCAAAGUUGUUGGACUUUGAGGCUAAACCACAUAAAGACCCAAGAAUUAGAUAGCCCAGUACUUGUUUUGUUUGGGAUCCAGGUUUAGUACACUCUAAAUGGUAUUAUGAAGAAACGGUCUUUUCCUCCCAUCUUCUUCUUCUUGAGUCUUAACUUCCCAUUCCCAUUUUUAUGGCUAUCUUUAGUUACUUGCAUUUCAGUACUUUUUGUGAUUCUAAGUGUUGUUAUUAUAAUG
rnacentral:misc_RNA from 1 species